rnacentral:rRNA from 1 species
UACGUAGGGGGCAAGCGUUGUCCGGAAUUAUUGGGCGUAAAGAGCUCGUAGGCGGUGUGUCGCGUCGACCGUGAAAACCUGCAGCUUAACUGUGGGCGUGCGGUCGAUACGGGCAUCACUGGAGUUCGGCAGGGGAGACUGGAAUUCCUGGUGUAGCGGUGAAAUGCGCAGAUAUCAGGAGGAACACCGGUGGCGAAGGCGGUCAACUGGCCCUAAACUGACGCUCAUGCACGAAAGCGUGGGGAUCAAACAGG